GGCUGAGUAGCUAAGUGGUUGAAGGCGUCGCUCUGCAAAAGCGAAUAUCGUGAGUUCAAAUCUCACCUCAGCCU
rnacentral:tRNA from 2 species